AUACGGAGGAUGCGAGCGUUAUCCGGAUUUAUUGGGUUUAAAGGGAGCGUAGGUGGACAGUUAAGUCAGUUGUGAAAGUUUGCGGCUCAACCGUAAAAUUGCAGUUGAUACUGGUUGUCUUGAGUACAGUAGAGGUGGGCGGAAUUCGUGGUGUAGCGGUGAAAUGCUUAGAUAUCACGAAGAACUCCGAUUGCGAAGGCAGCUUACUAAGUUAUAACUGACACUGAAGCACGAAAGCGUGGGUAUCAAACAGGAUUAGAUACCCUGGUAGUCCACGCAGUAAACGAUGAUUACUAGCUGUUUGCGAUAUACAGUAAGUGGCACAGCGAAAGCGUUAAGUAUUCCACCUGGGGAGUACGCCGGCAACGGUGAAACUUAAAGGAAUUGACGGGG
rnacentral:rRNA from 1 species